rnacentral:rRNA from 1 species
CCUACGGGAGGCAGCAGUGGGGAAUAUUGGACAAUGGGGGGAACCCUGAUCCAGCCAUGCCGCGUGUGUGAAGAAGGCCCUCGGGUUGUAAAGCACUUUCAGUGAGGAAGAACGCCUGGUGGUUAAUACCCAUCAGGAAAGACAUCACUCACAGAAGAAGCACCGGCUAACUCCGUGCCAGCAGCCGCGGUAAUACGGAGGGUGCGAGCGUUAAUCGGAAUUACUGGGCGUAAAGCGCGCGUAGGUGGCUUGAUAAGCCGGUUGUGAAAGCCCCGGGCUCAACCUGGGAACGGCAUCCGGAACUGUCAAGCUAGAGUGCAGGAGAGGAAGGUAGAAUUCCCGGUGUAGCGGUGAAAUGCGUAGAGAUCGGGAGGAAUACCAGUGGCGAAGGCGGCCUUCUGGACUGACACUGACACUGAGGUGCGAAAGCGUGGGUAGCAGACAGGAUUAGAUACCCGGGUAGUC